UGAGGAACAUGACCUUCGGCGGGGGAGUAGCCGGCCCAACGGCCGGGUAAUACCGCGUACGACCUUUUGGGGACAUCCCCGAUUGGUGAAAGCAGCAAUGCGCCGAUGGAGUGCCUCGCGGCCUAUCAGCUAGUUGGUGAGGUAACGGCUCACCAAGGCGACGACGGGUAGCUGGUCUGAGAGGAUGGCCAGCCACAUUGGGACUGAGACACGGCCCAGACUCCUACGGGAGNAGCG
rnacentral:rRNA from 1 species